UACGUAGGGUGCGAGCGUUGUCCGGAAUUAUUGGGCGUAAAGAGCUCGUAGGCGGUUUGUCGCGUCUGCUGUGAAAACCUGAGGCUCAACCUCGGGCUUGCAGUGGGUACGGGCAGACUAGAGUGCGGUAGGGGUGACUGGAAUUCCUGGUGUAGCGGUGGAAUGCGCAGAUAUCAGGAGGAACACCGAUGGCGAAGGCAGGUCACUGGGCCGCAACUGACGCUGAGGAGCGAAAGCAUGGGGAGCGAACAGG
rnacentral:rRNA from 1 species